rnacentral:rRNA from 1 species
GAUGAACGCUAGCGGCAGGCUUAAUACAUGCAAGUCGAGGGGCAGCGCAGUGUAGCAAUACAUGGGCGGCGACCGGCAAACGGGUGCGGAACACGUACGCAACCUUCCUUUAAGUGGGGGAUAGCCCAGGGAAACUUGGAUUAAUACCCCGUAAUAUUAUGAAGUGGCAUCACUUUAUACUUAUAGCUCCGGCGCUUAAAGAUGGGCGUGCGACUGAUUAGGUAGUUGGCGGGGUAACGGCCCACCAAGCCUGCGAUCAGUAACUGGUGUGAGGGCACGACCAGUCACACGGGCACUGGGACACGGGCCCGACUGCUACGGGAGGCAGCAGUAAGGAAUAUUGGUCAAUGGACGCAAGUCUGAACCAGCCAUGCCGCGUGGAGGAUGAAGGUCCUCUGGAUUGUAAACUUCUUUUAUUUGGGAAGAAACCCACUGUUUCUACGGUGGUUGACGGUACCAGAUGAAUAAGCACCGGCUAACUCCGUGCCAGCAGCCGCGGUAAGAC